rnacentral:misc_RNA from 2 species
AACGCACCUUGCGCCCUUUGGCCAUUCCGAAGGGCAUGCCUGUUUGAGUAUCAUGAACACCUCAACUCUUCAUGGUUUUCCAUGAUGAGCUUGGACUUUGGGGGACUUGCUGGCCUACAGUCAGCUCCUCUAAAAUAAAUCAGCUCGCCAGUGUUUGGUGGGUAUCGCAGGUGUGAUAACUAUCUACGCUUGUGGUUUUCCACCAAGUAACCUUCAGCAGUGGAGGUUCACUGGAGCUCACAGACGUCUCUCCUCAGUGAGGGACAGCCCUUUGAAUGUUUGAUCUCAAAUCAGGUAGGACUACCCGCUGAACUUAA